rnacentral:rRNA from 1 species
UACGUAGGGUGCAAGCGUUUAUCCGGAAUUAUUGGGCGUAAAGAGCUCGUAGGCGGUUUGUCGCGUCUGCUGUGAAAACUGGAGGCUCAACCUCCAGCCUGCAGUGGGUACGGGCAGACUAGAGUGCGGUAGGGGAGAUUGGAAUUCCUGGUGUAGCGGUGGAAUGCGCAGAUAUCAGGAGGAACACCGAUGGCGAAGGCAGAUCUCUGGGCCGUAACUGACGCUGAGGAGCGAAAGCGUGGGGAGCAGACAGG